rnacentral:rRNA from 1 species
GAGUAGAGUGGCGGACGGGUGAGUAAUACUUGGGAAUCUGCCUAGUAGUGGGGGAUAACUCGGGGAAACUCGAGCUAAUACCGCAUACGCCCUACGGGGGAAAGAUUUAUCGCUAUUAGAUGAGCCCAAGUCAGAUUAGCUAGUUGGUAGGGUAAUGGCCUACCAAGGCGACGAUCUGUAGCUGGUCUGAGAGGACGAACAGCCACACUGGGACUGAGACACGGCCCAG